AUCCCUUCUCUGCAAUAGUCCACCCAGUUUCAAGGAGGUCAUUUCAACUUGUAAUCCUGUCAGCGUGCUUAUAAAGGGCUGUGUGGGGAGCUGGCCUGGCUAGCAGGCGAGAGCGUGAACCCUGCCAGUCCCCGUUUUGAGCUGGAGGAAGCGGAUGCUGCAGGAGGACGACGGCGCAGGGCAGUCCCGGAGGCUGGGACUGAUGCUGGGUGGUGCUUGGAGAUAAAGAACAGCAUCUUCCCACGAGCCACCUUCUGUAUUCGUUACGGCCGGAGACAAAGGCUGGCAGGCUGACUGGAGAAGACAUUUCUUUCUGGCUCUGAGUUGCACUGUUCUGCCCUAAAGCUGUCGAAAGGAAAUAUGUUUGUUGUUAUUCACUUGAGGCCACAACAAAUGUACUGCCUGGAUAUGGAGUCUUACAUGAAAACAAAAGCCAUCCUCUGGCAGCCAUGACAUCCUACGCCUGUGAUGGAAAUGACUGGAGAGGCUCACAGCUGAGAAAAGCAACUUUAAAAAUAGACAGGCUCAUCCGUGAUGUCUGGAGAUGCAAAUACUUCGCCUCCCGCUGAGCCACGGUGUUGUGAGGACAACCCUAUGACACAGGUGAGAUGACAGUGGAAGAUUUCCACUCCACAGACAGUAGAGCGGCCAUUUCCCACUAAUGAGAGCUGUGUGUUGCCGUGCAUGUUUUCAGAGGCUGGGGAAGGCACCGCUGGGCUAAAACUUGGCAGAAAAUUUUUCCAGGAAUGAGAAGCUCUCUGAGAUUGGCAACUGGAAACGACGAAAAGGACGGGAGCAAAUUCACCUGUGAGAAACCUGCUGGAAGUUAAAUCUUCGCCUUUGCCGCUCUCCGGAGCGUGCUGCCUUCGUGGUUAAGCCCCUCUUCCUCAGGCAGUGAGAGCCCCGCACACAAACGCUCACUGUCCAGACAGACUUCGGACCGUGCUGCGAUAGCUAGGCUGUCCGGUAGUCUAGGACUCACUAAUACAGGACUUUUUCCACCUCGCUCAGGAGCAGGGAUCUGGAAGGUGGCUCUGAGAGACGUUUUG